rnacentral:misc_RNA from 1 species
UCCGAGUUGACCCCGGCAGUCUUCGAUGAGUCCCCGCCAUCACGCGCUGGCAACAUCGAACGAGGGUUGCGCUCGUUGCGGGACUUAACCCAACAUCUCACGACACGAGCUGACGACAGCCAUGCACCACCUGUCACCCGCCCCGAAGGACCCCGCAUCUCUGCGAGUUUUCGAGUGAUGUCGAACCCAGGUAAGGUUCUUCGCGUUGCAUCGAAUUAAGCCACAUACUCCACCGCUUGUGCAGGCCCCCGUCAAUUUCUUUGAGUUUUAAUCUUGCGACCGUACUCCCCAGGCGGCGCGUUUAUCGCGUUAGCUUCGCCACGGAAGGGGUCGAUUCCUCCCACAGCAAACGCGCACCGUUUACGGCGUGGACUAC